AGGAUGGGGGAACAGACUGAGGGGUGGACACAGGAGGGGUGAGCCCCAGGCUCUGCACUUUGCACUAUUUUUAUAGUGCGUGCUGUGGAAUACAGCAGAAGUCCCUGUUCUCGGCCAGUUAGGAUCAGAGGGUAUACCUUGUUCAGUUACACGGAGUCUGCCAGUAUUUUCUUCCAGGCAAUGUUUUAUCAGGAUAAAGCCUCUACUCCUCUACUCCCACACUGAACUUUGCCAUCUCAGCCUGCAGAGAUCACACACCGCACUUCAGAAGGAAAUAACUUCAUUCUCCGUAGGACAGACACAUCACAGUUCACAGAUGGCAAGUUGUGGGAUGUGACCUUCACAGUCCUAAGGGCCAGUUCCUCAUAACAAACUAUUGUGCUGGCUAAUCUUGAUUGUCUUCUUGACUGGAUUAACAGACUCCUGGAGUGUUGGCUGGCUGAUGCCAUGCAGUGAGCAGCCUUCCCCCGUGAAGCCCCCCUGCCAUGAUUCUGCCUGGAACCAGCUGACCGUGGGCUGAGACCUCCGGAACCGUGAGACAAAGAAAAAUCCUCAUCUUUUAAACUGCAGGUGUCAUAUAUUUUGUCCCAGCAAUGAAACACUGAACAAUACACCUCUUUAUCUCUCUAUCUCUAUCAUCUCUAUCUCCCCAUCUCCAUCUCUGUGUCUAUCUCCAUCUUUACGAGCCAUACCUAUAUCUGUCUAUUCUGUCAGCUUUGUUUCUUUGGGAAAUUCUAUCAUGCAGGCGAAAGGAGGAGUGCAGACUUAGCUCAUUUGUUUUUUCCAUACGAAUUUUGGAGUUGAUGCAAUUCAGUCUAUGUGGAAUCCCUUUAACAUGAAUAGAACAGAGCAAAUAUCUGCACACUUAGCCUUUCAAGAAAAGUCUUUGCUGAAAAGACAGCGAUGUAAUUUCAUGACCGAAAGGCUGAAAUUUAGGGGACCAUUUUUGUACUACAAAAGAUUUCUAGCAUUUUGUUAUAUGUGCUGUAUGAUUCUAGAUAAGAUUCAUUUCCUCUUUAGUUUUCUCAUCUGUAAUAAAAUAAUA